UAACAGGAAACAGCUUGCUGUUUCGCUGACGAGUGGCGGACGGGUGAGUAAUGUCUGGGAAACUGCCUGAUGGAGGGGGAUAACUACUGGAAACGGUAGCUAAUACCGCAUAACGUCGCAAGACCAAAGAGGGGGACCCUCGGGCCUCUUGCCAUCGGAUGUGCCCAGAUGGGAUUAGCUUGUUGGUGGGGUAACGGCUCACCAAGGCGACGAUCCCUAGCUGGUCUGAGAGGAUGACCAGCCACACUGGAACUGAGACACGGUCCAGACUCCUACGGGAGGCAGCAGUGGGGAAUAUUGCACAAUGGGCGCAAGCCUGAUGCAGCCAUGCCGCGUGUAUGAAGAAGGCCUUCGGGUUGUAAAGUACUUUCAGCGGGGAGGAAGGGAGUAAAGUUAAUACCUUUGCUCAUUGACGUUACCCGCAGAAGAAGCACCGGCUAACUCCGUGCCAGCAGCCGCGGUAAUACGGAGGGUGCAAGCGUUAAUCGGAAUUACUGGGCGUAAAGCGCACGCAGGCGGUUUGUUAAGUCAGAUGUGAAAUCCCCGGGCUCAACCUGGGAACUGCAUCUGAUACUGGCAAGCUUGAGUCUCGUAGAGGGGGGUAGAAUUCCAGGUGUAGCGGUGAAAUGCGUAGAGAUCUGGAGGAAUACCGGUGGCGAAGGCGGCCCCCUGGACGAAGACUGACGCU
rnacentral:rRNA from 1 species